rnacentral:rRNA from 1 species
GUGGGGAAUCUUGCGCAAUGGGCGAAAGCCUGACGCAGCCAUGCCGCGUGAAUGAUGAAGGUCUUAGGAUUGUAAAAUUCUUUCACCGGGGACGAUAAUGACGGUACCCGGAGAAGAAGCCCCGGCUAACUUCGUGCCAGCAGCCGCAGUAAUACGAAGGGGGCUAGCGUUGCUCGGAAUUACUGGGCGUAAAGGGCGCGUAGGCGGAUCGUUAAGUCAGGGGUGAAAUCCCAGAGCUCAACUCUGGAACUGCCCUGGAUACUGGCGAUCUUGAGUGUGAGAGAGGUAUGUGGAACUCCGAGUGUAGAGGUGAAAUUCGUAGAUAUUCGGAAGAACACCAGUGGUGAAGGCGACAUACUGGCUCAUUACUGACGCUGAGGCGCGAAAGCGUGGGGAGCAAACAGGAUUAGAAACCCUGGUAGUCC